GCAGCAGGCGCGCAAAUUACCCACUCCCGGCACGGGGAGGUAGUGACGAAAAAUAACGAUACGGGACUCAUCCGAGGCCCCGUAAUCGGAAUGAGUAUACUCUAAAUCCUUAUACGAGUAUCAAUUGGAGGGCAAGUCUGGUGCCAGCAGCCGCGGUAAUUCCAGCUCCAAUAGCGUAUAUUAAAGUUGUUGCGGUUAAAAAGCUCGUAGUUGGAUCUGUGUCCCGCACCGUCGGUUCACCGCCUGUCGGUGUUCAACUGGCGUGUAUGCGGGACGUCCUGCCGGUGGCGGUCCGGUUCCCGGAGGGUACGUAGGGGUCGGCCUUGCCUUGCUCGCGUCGUCCCCGAAGUCCUUCAUGGUGUUUCCGGCCGCCUUUUCGAUCCCGUCGCGGUGCUCUUUACCGAGUGUCGAGGCGGGCCGGCACGUUUACUUUGAACAAAUUAGAGUGCUUUAAGCAGGCCCUGUCCCGCCUGUAUGUUGUGUGCAUGGAAUAAUGGAAUAGGACCUCGGUUCUAUUUUGUUGGUUUUCGGAAUCUGAGGUAAUGAUCAAUGGGGACAGGCGGGGGCAUUCGUAUUGCGACGUUAGAGGUGAAAUUCUUGGAUCGUCGCAAGACGGACCGAAGCGAAAGCAUUUGCCAAGUAUGUUCUCGUCGAUCAAGAACGAAAGUUAGAGGUUCGAAGGCGAUCAGAUACCGCCCUAGUUCUAACCAUAAACUAUGCCUGCCAGCGAUCCGCCGAAGUUCCUCCGAUGACUCGGCGGGCAGCUUCCGGGAAACCAGAGCUUUUGGGUUCCGGGGGAAGUAUGGUUGCAAAGCUGAAACUUAAAGGAAUUGACGGAAGGGCACCACCAGGAGUGGAGCCUGCGGCUUAAUUUGACUCAACACGGGAAAACUCACCAGGCCCGGACACCGGAAGGAUUGACAGAUUGAGAGCUCUUUCUUGAUUCGGUGGGUGGUGGUGCAUGGCCGUUCUUAGUUGGUGGAGCGAUUUGUCUGGUUAAUUCCGAUAACGAACGAGACUCUAGCCUACUAACUAGGCGUACCCGGUAUCCACAAUCGUGCUACCGGCGAUCAAAUUUCUUCUUAGAGGGACAGGCGGCUUCUAGCCGCACGAGACUGAGCAAUAACAGGUCUGUGAUGCCCUUAGAUGUCCUGGGCCGCACGCGCGCUACACUGAAGGAAUCAGCGUGUCUUCCCUGUCCGAAAGGACCGGGUAACCCGCUGAACCUCCUUUGUGCUAGGGAUUGGGGCUUGCAAUUGUUCCCCAUGAACGAGGAAUUCCCAGUAAGCGCGAGUCAUAAGCUCGCGUUGAUUACGUCCCUGCCCUUUGUACACACCGCCCGUCGCUACUACCGAUUGAAUGAUUUAGUGAGGUCUUCGGACUGGUGCGCGGAGGCCGCUCCCGCGGUCUCCGAUGUUGCUGGAAAGAUGACCAAACUUGAUCAUUUAGAGGAAGUAAAAGUCGUAACAAGGUUUCCGUAGGUGAACCUGCGGAAA
rnacentral:rRNA from 1 species